UCUGGUCUAAUAAUUAAAUUGACAUAAGACAGAUUAACAGAAGAAAAACAAAUUUACUACUCAGGGGAGUACCAGGAAAAUAUGAGACUCCUCUUGACAGGCUGGUAAUUGAGGCUUGUCUACCAUCCUGAGCUAAUGAGAAGCAGAUAGGAAUCUGGGCCUUCAAAAGGGAGAAAGACAAUUCACAGGAAGGCAAAACAAGAGGACAUAGAAUCAGGAGCAGGCUACAUAGCUUCAAAUCAGCAGCACAAGGUCAGAGACUAAUAAACUACAAGACUGUUAACCAAGAAACUUAACUAUAAUGUGCCCCUGGAGUAAAAUUCCUCCUUAAUGUAAACCA